GGACAGUCUGGGAGCCACCUAGGAGGAGAAUGGGGUGCAGCUGUCAACCCCAGGGCUGUUUGGAGUGGCUGAAACAGCAGCGUAGCAAUGGACUGCUGUAGCAGAGGAGUUCAGCACAGCUCCAUCAAAUGGUUCUUUGGAUCGAGCAUAGAAACUGGUCAGAUCUCUUCCACCCGUACCCUGUAUCACCAGAGAACAGAAUUUCCAUGCAGCCACUGGUUUGUCCUCAGACAGCGGCACUAGAAGUUACCGCGUUCAGCUUUUGUCCUAUUGCCUGGCUUCCCUGCCCUUGAUCUUCUUCCAGCAGUGGAAACAGCUCUCAUCUUCUCUUGAAUGAGAAUAUCAGUCUACCAACACCAGGUGCUUCUUUCCUUUUUUAAGAGCUCUGUUCAGAGCAUUCCUCCAGAGUGGAACUCUGCUACUUGGCCAAACCAAACAGCACCAACAGCUGAGCAGCCACUAACAUGAUGACACAGGAGCACACCAUCCAAAGCAGAAGAAAUGAGGAAAUACGGGGAGUGUGAGAGCACUGAUGAGUCUGGAUUAAGAAAAAACAUAGCCAGGAUAAGGUUCUGUCAAUGGACUGACACUUCAUUUUCCUCCCAUUGUCUGACGACCAGAAGAGCAGUACACCAGCAACAAGGAUGAUCACAUCGAAGGCGGGAAAACACAACUGUCAGGCUUCAAGGACAAAGCCUAUUCUUACAUUGCCAUUCCUUAAAUCCAGACAUUAGAGCAAAAGGAAUGAGAAAAAAGCAGCUCACUCAUGGAUAGCUUACUGAGGAUACUGCAAAAGAUUAUGCUAAUCUUUGCUUCAUUGUCCUCUGCAAAAUGUUUUCAUACCAUGCCUUUUAUCUGUGGAAGGGAUGCACAACCUCUCAACUCUGUGACAGCGAGCACUUUCUGUGUGGUUUCUGCGUAAUUAACACCAGCACUGGAUCUUUUCAUUUUUGCUACUCAAGCUUAUGGCCUUUUAAGGGUACCCACAGGGGAGCAUC
ensembl:lncRNA